GGACGUUUAGCUCAGUUGGUCAGAGCAUUCGGCUCAUAACCGAACGGUCGCAGGUUCGAGACCUGCAAUGUCCA
rnacentral:tRNA from 20 species